UCGCGGCCGGUCGCGAGGCUGUCGCUUGGUGUGCGCCGGCUCCCGCCUUUCUGGAGAGCAGCCGUUCCACCAGCUCCCCUUCACACUUCCCAACUUUUAGAUGUAUUUGUAAAAUACUGACACGAAUGAAGCCGCCUUUCAAGGCAAAUGUUAGGGACCUUUGUAUUCAAGUGGUAAAAAGUUACCACAGAGCUGCCGGCUUUAGGCGUCCACGCUGUAGGGUAACUCUGAAAUGUGAUUCACUGAACAUUAUUACGGAAAUUAAGUUUACUGUCAAUAUUAUCAUUGGAGGGUGCCUCAUCCUCCCUGGGCACCCAUUGGAUGAACACAGAGCACUAAAGAAGGCGGCUCAGGCGUGCUCCUCAGGGCUAAGUCAGCUACCAAGCCUGGGUGCCUAGUGCAUCUGAGAGCACAGGAGCGGUACUCCAGGUCGUCCUGCUUUCUUGAUUUCCCCUUCUCUUCUCUGUUUCUAACAUCUUGUCUCCUGGUACCCAGUUAUUGGAGCCGCAAGGUCUCUUGGAAUUGGCCAGGUCUUUUCUCAUCUUCUGAGAAGCUUGACUUUGGGUUGCCUCUCCUCAUUUUCUCUCUUGCUUCGUUUCAAGCUCACCACUGGAAGCAGGACAAAGGCACCUUCCACUGGUAUGCAAGGAGCUGGCCAUGGGGACCUGAGGUCAUAAGCAGGAGAGGAGAGAAGAUGGUUUAGAUUGAAGCAUCCAGUUGAGAAGACACCCUGAUACAGUUGUUCCUGCUGAGCCAUUCAUUCUCCUUAAGUGGGUACAUUAAACAAGUUUGCUGGAUCCAAGAAACCUGCAAGAGAAACCUCCUCAGACAGGCGUGAAGCAAAAGAGCUUGGCCUAGUAAAAACCGUGCGGAGUCCCUGCAGCAGCACGUGGCCAGGCCUCAUUCAGCAGGUCAGCUGGGUGCGCCCCUGGCUCCGCCCCGCGCCCCGCCCCCCAACCGCGGGCGUUUAAAGUGGAGCUCAGGCAGGCCCGAAAACUGGAGGUAAAAACAGCGAAAACUGCUCCUGGACAACACAGCCGACUGUGGAUAAUAAACAUUGCUUUGGCCACGACCGAUGAGCUGUCACUCGAAGGAGCAAGGCAGGUGUUCCCCGUUUUCUGGGCGGGCACCUAUGGCUUCAGAACGUCGCAUUCACAGGAGGCGCAGAGACUGGGGACUGCCCUUCUGGGGCCCGGACGCCUGCGACCAGGCACCUUGUGCAGCUGAGCAGGAGCAGAGCGCUUGGCAUAUAAGGAAGAAAAUGGUGGCUCACAGGUGGAAGAUGCUUAGUGCUUGGUGGCCCAGAACAACUAUGACUGACACUGUAGCCAGGCAAGCCUGACAGACCUCUUGUUCCUGGCCAGUAGACAAUACCUGGAAUUUAAUCUGGUAGUAACUGAGUUUUGGCCUUAAAACCAUCCCCAAAAAAACCCUAGAAAGCAAGAAACCAACCCCUAAUAAUAAGGUGUGGAGAAGCCUAUAAGGAAAGAAUGUUUCAGGAUCAGAAAGGCUAAAGGGAAAAAAGACAUGAAGAGAAGCACCUUCUUCCUAUCAAGAAUUGCCAGUGUUCCCCUUUAUUGGAGAGAAUUAUGCUCAAUGAAAACCAACCAAUACUGGAGAGCUCUGCAAUGUAAUACUGCAGGUAUAGGUCAUCACUUUUUUAAAAACUAGUGUUGAAUGAACACAGUCAUCUACUAUUUGUGUAUGUUGUUCAUUAUUAGUCUGUUUCCUCUAUACAAUUGAACUUUACUGAAGCUUUUCCCCCAUGACUUUGAUGACAUUGCUCACAUUUUGAUUCCUUUCUGUUUCCAA